rnacentral:rRNA from 1 species
UACGGGGGGGGCAAGCGUUGUUCGGAUUCAUUGGGCGUAAAGGGUGCGUAGGCGGCCUCAUAAGUCCGUUGUGAAAGUCAAAGGCUCAACCUUUGAAAGCCGAUGGAUACUGUGAGGCUAGAGUCCGGAAGAGGCGAGUGGAAUUCCUGGUGUAGCGGUGGAAUGCGCAGAUAUCAGGAGGAACACCAAUAGCGAAGGCAGCUCGCUGGGACGGUACUGACGCUAAGGCGCGAAAGCGUGGGGAGCGAACAGG